rnacentral:rRNA from 1 species
UACGGGGGGAGCAAGCGUUGUUCGGAUUUACUGGGCGUAAAGGGCGCGGUAGGCGGUCGUGACAAGUCACUUGUGAAAUCUCCGGGCUUAACUCGGAACGGUCAAGUGAUACUGUCGGACUAGAGUACAGCAGGGGCAACUGGAAUUCUCGGUGUAGCGGUGAAAUGCGUAGAUAUCGAGAGGAACACCUGCGGCGAAGGCGGGUUGCUGGGCUGAUACUGACGCUGAGGCGCGAAAGCCAGGGGAGGCGAAACGGG